GCAAGUCGAGCGGUAACAGGAAUUAGCUUGCUAAUUUGCUGACGAGCGGCGGACGGGUGAGUAACGCGUAGGAAUCUGCCUAGUAGUGGGGGACAACAUGUGGAAACGCAUGCUAAUACCGCAUACGCCCUGAGGGGGAAAGGAGGGGAUCACUUGUGACCUUCCGCUAUUAGAUGAGCCUGCGUGAGAUUAGCUAGUUGGUAGGGUAAUGGCUUACCAAGGCGACGAUCCCUAGCUGGUCUUAGAGGAUGACC
rnacentral:rRNA from 1 species